rnacentral:rRNA from 1 species
UGGGGGAUCGCUCGGCUCGAGUGCCGAUGAAGGUCGUGACAAGCUGCGAUAAGCUGCGGGUAGGCGCAUGUAUGCCUAAGAUCCGCAGAUGGCUGAAUAGGACUUCCUGUUUCUUCGGAAACGGUCGCAUUAGCGAUAGGGAACCCACCGAAUUGAAGCAUCUUAGUAGGUGGAGGAAAUGAAAUCAAACGAGAUUCCGUUAGUAGUGGCGAAUGAACACGGAUCAGGACAAGCCGAAUCCCAAAUCGAAAGAGAGGGAGAUGUGGUUGUCAGUCUUUUGUCUAAGUUAUGGAAGGUGAACUCGCCUGGAAUGGCGGAUCCAUAGAGGGUGAAAGUCCCGUAACCGUACAUAAUAUGACCACGUGACUGUCAAAGAGUAGCAUGCGUUGGAAAUCGCGUGUGAACAUGGGAGGCAAAUACUUCCAAUCCUAAAUACAACUCGAGACCGAUAGUUUACAAGUAACGUGAGUGAAAGCUGAAAAG